CAGAGUAGGACGCAAAGCGUUAGCGCGUUUUCAAAAAAAACGCCGCUUGAAGUGCCGUCGGAACAGGGAGUUGUCCGCGGACGAAGUCGCUUUUCGCAACGCGGUUUUGCGUCCGCAUCCCGCUGU
rnacentral:ncRNA from 1 species